GUCAACUUCAGCGUUUAUUUUACAAAUAAGAAAUAUAAAUCUUAUAAAAAAAUAAAAAUAGCUUCAACAUGUGUACAUUUUAUUAUUAAUCAUUUUAAAAUUUUAAUUGCAAUUUUCGUUACAUUUGAUCUGUAAGAAUUCGAUUUUGAAUCAUUUUCAUUUCAAAUUGAUUCACACACAUAGCAGACGUCAACACAUCAAGCGUCAUCAAUAGCGUGGUCUAUGGUGCAAUGCUAUCACUGGAGAAAGGCGUUUACCUUCAAUUCGGGUAGCGUUAUGAUUGGCCUACCCUGAUGGCGUCAUGAUCGGCGUGCCCCGUUGGCGUCAUAAUCAGCGUGCUUUAAUUUACCCGAUUUAUGCACAACCAUCACUUGAUGGAUUGAAUAUCAUCUGCAAACAGUCGCAAUUGAUGUCUCAAAUACGUCUUGCUGCAUACUUCUACUGCAUACCAACCCACUGCUUGUGGUUGCUCACACUCUGACGUUUGCAAUGGUUUCCACCCAAAGUUUAUUUGACUUUGGAAGGCUUCGGUUUCCAGUGGCUACUUUCCAUGGUGUCUGCGUGGAGUUACAUUGCUGGUUAACAUGGUGUUAACUUAUCCAAAUUUGUUGAGACAGUGGAUGAAUCAUCAGCACCAUCAUCACCAUGUUUGUGGUUGAAUCAUCAGUUAAGCUGGGAUAGUUGAAGAGAAGUUUUAAAGAAAGACGGAAACAAUUGACAAGGCAAAAGAUAGUCAUGCUAUUCAGGUGUUCGAUCAACUGUCCAUAUUAUUUACUUCUUGUACGGUCCACUGUUAAAAAGGUUCCUAUUUUUGGGGGGUUUGUAUUCCCUACAAUUUAGUAACCACCCCUAAAUUUUCGUAUAGCUACGAAAAUAUAGGGUAACACGCUAAAAAUAAGAGGUUUAAAGCACA